rnacentral:tRNA from 1 species
AUCUUUCUAGUAUAAAGAUAAUACGGAUGACUUCCAAUCAUUUAAUCUUAGUUAAACCCUAAGGAAAGAUA